rnacentral:rRNA from 1 species
UGAGGCGUGAUGGGGAAGGCCCUUGAGGCUGAAGUACAUGAUUCCAUGCUUCCAAGAAAAGCAUCUAGAGAGAGAAGUAGUGCCCGUACCGCAAACCGACACAGGUAGAUGAGGAGAGAAUCCUAAGGCCGGCGGAAGAAUUGCAGUUAAGGAGCUAGGCAAAUUGACCCCGUAAGUUAGCGAGAAGGGGUGCCUGCGAGAGCAGGCCGCAGAGAAUAGGCCCAAGCAACUGUUUAGCAAAAACACAGGUCUCUGCUAAAGCGCAAGCUGAUGUAUAGGGGCUGACGCCUGCCCGGUGCUGGAAGGUUAAGGGGAACACUUAGCGCAAGCGAAGGUGUGAACUUAAGCCCCAGUAAACGGCGGCCGUAACAAUAACGGUCCUAAGGUAGCGAAAUUCCUUGUCAGGUAAGUUCUGACCCGCUCGAAUGGCGUAAUGACUUGGGCACUGUCUCAACUGCAAAUCCGGCGAAGUUGUAGUGCGAGUGAAGAUGCUCGCUACCCGCGAUUGGACGGAAAGACCCCGUAGAGCUUUACUGUAGCUUAGCAUUGAAUUCCGGUAUUGCCUGUACAGGAUAGGUGGGAGACUGGGAAACUAGGGCGUCAGCCUUAGUGGAGUCGCCCUUGGGAUACCACCCUGACAGUACUGGGGUUCUAACAGGACGCCAUGAAUCUGGUGACUGGACAUUGUUAGGUGGGCAGUUUGACUGGGGCGGUCGCCUCCUAAAAAGUAACGGAGGCGCCCAAAGGUUCCCUCAGAACGGUCGGAAAUCGUUCGUAGAGUGCAAAGGCAGAAGGGAGCCUGACUGCGAGACCUACAAGUCGAGCAGGGACGAAAGUCGGGCUUAGUGAUCCGGUGGUACCUCGUGGGAGGGCCAUCGCUCAACGGAUAAAAGCUACCUCGGGGAUAACAGGCUGAUCUCCCCCAAGAGUCCACAUCGACGGGGAGGUUUGGCACCUCGAUGUCGGCUCGUCGCAUCCUGGGGCUGUAGUAGGUCCCAAGGGUUGGGCUGUUCGCCCACUAAAGCGGCACGCGAGCUGGGUUCAGAACGUCGUGAGACAGUUCGGUCCCUAUCCGUCGCGGGCGUAGGAAAUUUGAGAGGAGCUGUCCUUAGUACGAGAGGACCGGGAUGGACUGACCUCUGGUGCACCAGUUGUUCUGCCAAGAGCAUGGCUGGGUAGCUAAGUCGGGAAGGGAUAAACGCUGAAAGCAUCUAAGCGUGAAGCCUCCCUCAAGAUGAGAUUUCCCAUAGCAUAAGCUAGUAAGACCCCUUGAAGAACACGAGGUUGAUAGGUCAGAGGUGUAAGUGUGGUAACAUAUUUAGCUGACUGAUACUAAUAGGUCGAGGGCUUGACCG